AGCAGCCGCGGUAAUUCCAGCUCCAAUAGCGUAUAUUAAAGUUGUUGCAGUUAAAAAGCUCGUAGUUGAAUUUCGGGAUCAAUACGUCGGUCGUGCUCCGGUACGUACUGGCAUUAUUGGUUUCUACCUUCUGAAGAACCUCGAUGUCAUUAAUUUGGUGUCUUGGGGAAUCAGGACUGUUACUUUGAAAAAUUGAGUGUUUAAAGCAGGCUCGCGCUUGAAUACAUUAGCAUGGAAUAGUGAAAUAGGACGUUUGAUUCUAUUUUGUUGGUUUCUAGGAUCGACGUAAUGAUUAAUAGGGAUAGUUGGGGGCAUUAGUAUUCAAUUGUCAGAGGUGAAAUUCUUGGAUUUAUUGAAGACUAACUACUGCGAAAGCAUUUGCCAAGGAUGUUUUCAUUAAUCAAGAACGAAAGUUAGGGGAUCGAAGAC
rnacentral:rRNA from 1 species